rnacentral:rRNA from 1 species
GUGGGGAAUAUUGGACAAUGGGCGCAAGCCUGAUCCAGCCAUGCCGCGUGAGUGAUGAAGGCCUUAGGGUUGUAAAGCUCUUUCAGUAGGGAAGAUAAUGACGGUACCUACAGAAGAAGCCCCGGCUAACUUCGUGCCAGCAGCCGCGGUAAUACGAAGGGGGCUAGCGUUGUUCGGAUUUACUGGGCGUAAAGCGCACGUAGGCGGAUUGGUCAGUUAGAGGUGAAAUCCUGGAGCUCAACUCCAGAACUGCCUUUAAUACUGCCAGUCUAGAGUCCAGAAGAGGUGAGUGGAACUCCUAGUGUAGAGGUGGAAUUCGUAGAUAUUAGGAAGAACACCAGUGGCGAAGGCGGCUCACUGGUCUGGUACUGACGCUGAGGUGCGAAAGCGUGGGGAGCAAACAGGAUUAGAAACCCGAGUAGUCC